rnacentral:misc_RNA from 1 species
AAAGGCCCAAUUGGACAGCACGGUAAGCGCUUCUUUUAUAGAGCUAUCAUGUGACAGUUUAAAAAUAGUUAUGGUGACGACAUCACUUUUUCUAGGGAAUUUCCAGAGACUUGAAUCUCAUUUUUUUUUGCAAUCUCUGGUGUUUUUCCCCUAACCCGAAUGACUAAGAAUGUUUUUUCACCUUUUUCCCACAGGUGGGAAUACACCCUUCUACUGCCGAGGAAUUCGUGACAAUGCGAUCA